AUUGAACGCUGGCGGCAUGCUUUACACAUGCAAGUCGAACGGUAACAGGCCGCAAGGUGCUGACGAGUGGCGAACGGGUGAGUAAUGCAUCGGAACGUGCCCAGUCGUGGGGGAUAACGCAGCGAAAGCUGCGCUAAUACCGCAUACGAUCUAUGGAUGAAAGCGGGGGACCGUAAGGCCUCGCGCGAUUGGAGCGGCCGAUGUCAGAUUAGGUAGUUGGUGGGGUAAAGUCUCACCAAGCCAACGAUCUGUAGCUGGUCUGAGAGGACGACCAGCCACACUGGUACUGAGACACGGCGCAAACUCCUACGGGAGGCAGCAGUGGGGAAUUUUGGACAAUGGGAGCAAGCCUGAUCCAGCAAUGCCGCGUGCAGGAAGAAGGCCUUCGGGUUGUAAACUGCUUUUGUACGGAACGAAACGGUCCGGGUUAAUACCCGGGGCUAAUGACGGUACCGUAAGAAUAAGCACCGGCUAACUACGUGCCAGCCGCCGCAGUAACAC
rnacentral:rRNA from 1 species